CCGCUUCAAUUGAGGCCGUAGCCGUGUGUGGGGUCAAACCCAUGCAUGGUCUGCUGGUCCUCGAUCGCGCCUGGGCCGAUAGGUCCGGGUAAUCUUUGCAAAUUUAAUCGUGCUGGGGAUAGAUCAUUGUAAUUAUUGAUCUUCAACGAGGAAUUCCUAGUAAGCGCGAGUCAUCAGCUCGCGUUGAUUACGUCCCUGCCCUUUGUA
rnacentral:rRNA from 1 species